CGGGAUAUAGUGUUUAACGGCUAGCACGCAUGGUUUGGGACCAUGUAGACUGGGUUCGAAUCCCAGUAUCCCGA
rnacentral:tRNA from 1 species